rnacentral:lncRNA from 1 species
CGCCACGGUGACUUGCAAGCAACUCACUGCACUUAGGCACUGGACUACCUGAAUUUCUAAUUCAGUGACGGACGGAUACUGGGUGUAGUCAAGUACUUGACUUGUCGGUGCGUGUGUCAAGAUGGGAUUGACCACUCCAGUUCAGGAGCUGCGUACAGUCGUGUUUCAAUUUAGCAAAACCUUGGCUAGGGUAGUCCUA